rnacentral:rRNA from 1 species
ACGCACGCUGGCGGCGUGCUUAACACAUGCAAGUCGAACGGAAAGGCCCUGCUUUUGUGGGGUGCUCGAGUGGCGAACGGGUGAGUAACACGUGAGUAACCUGCCCUUGACUUUGGGAUAACUUCAGGAAACUGGGGCUAAUACCGGAUAGGAGCUCCUGCUGCAUGGUGGGGGUUGGAAAGUUUCGGCGGUUGGAGAUGGACUCGCGGCUUAUCAGCUUGUUGGUGGGGUAGUGGCUUACCAAGGCUUUGACGGGUAGCCGGCCUGAGAGGGUGACCGGCCACAUUGGGACUGAGAUACGGCCCAGACUCCUACGGGAGGCAGCAGUGGGGAAUAUUGCACAAUGGGCGGAAGCCUGAUGCAGCAACGCCGCGUGCGGGAUGACGGCCUUCGGGUUGUAAACCGCUUUCGCCUGUGACGAAGCGUGAGUGACGGUAAUGGGUAAAGAAGCACCGGCUAACUACGUG